rnacentral:rRNA from 1 species
GAUGAACGCUGGCGGCGUGCCUAAUACAUGCAAGUCGAGCGAACAGACGAGGAGCUUGCUCCUCUGACGUUAGCGGCGGACGGGUGAGUAACACGUGGAUAACCUACCUAUAAGACUGGGAUAACUUCGGGAAACCGGAGCUAAUACCGGAUAAUAUAUUGAACCGCAUGGUUCAAUAGUGAAAGACGGUUUUGCUGUCACUUAUAGAUGGAUCCGCGCCGCAUUAGCUAGUUGGUAAGGUAACGGCUUACCAAGGCAACGAUGCGUAGCCGACCUGAGAGGGGGAUCGGCCACACUGGAACUGAGACACGGUCCAGACUCCUACGGGAGGCAGCAGUAGGGAAUCUUCCGCAAUAGGCGAGAGCUUGACAGAGCAACGCCGCGUGAGUGAUGAAGGUCUUCGGAUCGUAAAACUCUGUUAUUAGGGAAGAACAAAUGUGUAAGUAACUAUGCACGUCUUGACGGUACCUAAUCAGAAAGCCACGGCUAACUACGUG